rfam:Triticum aestivum genome assembly, contig: Triticum_aestivum_CS42_TGACv1_scaffold_404702_5BL
AUUAUACUCCCUCCGUCUGGAAAUACUUAUCGGAAAAAUGGAUGUAUCUAGAUGUAUUUUAGUUCUAAAUACAUCCAUUUUUAUGCAUUUCUAUGACAAGUAUUUUUGGACGGAGGGAGUAUAUA